AACGAAGACGAAGGUGACGCCAGCAGCGUCGCCACGAGCACGCGGUAUCACACAAUGCGCAAGAAGUUAACCUCGACGCCUGCGCGAGAAACGCUAAACGAGCGAGCGUAUUCCCCGCGGGCAAAGCGUUUCAAAAAUUCAUCCGUCACGCGAUAUUUUCCCCCGUUCCUACCCCCUCGAGCCCACAACCUCACUCUGUCACAGGCCCAGCGCAACACCGGGUGUUGCCAUUUCAUUCGCUCCUUCGAACAUGUUUUUUCCUUUCUCGCUCUUCGAAUCGACGCGUGGUUUGUGCGCAUGCGCGGCCUCCGUGAACAUAACACAUCGUUCAAUAGGUCCCGACACUAACUAUGAAAUGUUUGAAAUUAAAACUAUGAAAAACUAUGAAGUAAAUGAAAUAACUAUGUUAUGUUUCGAAUUACAUCAAAUUAUAUGACAUCUUACAAUUAAUUAUAUCUUGUCUGAAGGUUAGUACUUCUGAAUCUUGGUAUAUAAAUGGCAUUAUUGGCACCAUCUCUACGCUAGUCUCGGGACUCAUUGAACGAUGUGUUACAUGGUACCCAACGCGGUGUAUGUGUGUGCGUUGGCCAUCCAACUGUCAGUUCGGUUUGUUUUGAUCGUAAGUAUUCCAAGCCAAGUGAUGACGCCUCAGAGCCAGCCGCAGUAAGUACGUUAAAAAGUGGUGUUUUUUUUCAUUUAAUUCAGUGCUAUUUUUAUGUUUACAGUUCGCCAAAUGUCUGCAGAAGGUAUCGUCGAAAGAAUUUGCUGCAGGAGGAUGCCGUAAAUGUUUAUAAGUACCACGAAGUGAGCCGAGCGACGUCCCGUCUCGAGAAGGAAGCGCAUGAAAUGGUGCCGUAGGACGCUGGAGAAGGGUGUAUGUACGUAUAGUGGUGUUUUGAUAGUGUUUAUGAUUUGUGAGAAAUAAAGGUU